GGGUAUAGCUCAGUGGUAGAGUGUGUGCUUAGCAUGCACAAGGUCCUGGGUUCAAUCCCCAGUACCUACA
rnacentral:tRNA from 1 species